GAUGAACGCUGGCGGCGUGCCUAAUACAUGCAAGUCGAACGAAACUUCUUUAUCACCGAGUGCUUGCACUCACCGAUAAAGAGUUGAGUGGCGAACGGGUGAGUAACACGUGGGCAACCUGCCCAAAAGAGGGGGAUAACACUUGGAAACAGGUGCUAAUACCGCAUAACCAUAGUUACCGCAUGGUAACUAUGUAAAAGGUGGCUAUACUACCGCUUUUGGAUGGGCCCGCGGCGCAUUAGCUAGUUGGUAGGGUAAAGGCUUACCAAGGCAAUGAGGCGUAGCCGAAUUGAGAGGUUGAUCGGCCACAUUGGGACUGAGACACGGCCCAAACUCCUACGGGAGGCAGCAGUAGGGAAUCUUCCACAAUGGGCGAAAGCCUGAUGGAGCAACGCCGCGUGGGUGAAGAAGGUCUUCGGAUCGUAAAACCCUGUUGUUAGAGAAGAAAGUGCGUGAGAGUAACUGUUCACGUUUCGACGGUAUCUAACCAGAAAGCCACUGCUAACUACGUG
rnacentral:rRNA from 1 species